rnacentral:rRNA from 1 species
ACGGAAGGCAGCAGUGGGGAAUAUUGGACAAUGGGGGAAACCCUGAUCCAGCGACGCCGCGUGAGUGAAGAAGUAUUUCGGUAUGUAAAGCUCUAUCAGCAAGGAAGAAAAUGACGGUACUUGACUAAGAAGCCCCGGCUAACUACGUGCCAGCAGCCGCGGUAAUACGUAGGGGGCAAGCGUUAUCCGGAUUUACUGGGUGUAAAGGGAGCGUAGACGGCGAUGCAAGUCUGAUGUGAAAACCCAGGGCUUAACCUUGGGCCUGCAUUGGAAACUGCUUUGCUAGAGUGCAGGAGAGGUAAGUGGAAUUCCUAGUGUAGCGGUGAAAUGCGUAGAUAUUAGGAGGAACACCAGUGGCGAAGGCGGCUUACUGGACUGUAACUGACGUUGAGGCUCGAAAGCGUGGGGAGCAAACAGGAUUAGAUACCCUGGUA